rnacentral:rRNA from 1 species
AACGAACGCUGGCGGCGUGGUUUAGGCAUGCAAGUCGAGCGAGAAAGUCCUUCGGGACGAGUACAGCGGCGAAAGGGUGAGUAAUAUAUAGGUAACCUACCUCUUGGACUCGGAUAAUUCCUGGAAACGGGUUGUAAUACGAGAUCGUCCUAUUGGGUCGCAUGGCCCGACUGGUAAAUGGUAGCUCUGCUUCUGCCGAGAGAGGGGCCUAUAUCCUAUUAGCUAGUUGGUGAGGUAAUGGCUCACCAAGGCUUUGAUGGGUAGCCGGACUGAGAGGUUGGCCGGUCACACUGGGACUGAGACACUGCCCAGACUCCUACGGGAGGCUGCAGUCGAGAAUCUUCCGCAAUGGGCGAAAGCCUGACGGGGCGACGCCGCGUGAACGAAGAAGGCCUCGG